rnacentral:piRNA from 1 species
GCUGAUUGUACAGUCCCAGGGCGUUGAGU